AUGUGGAAGAAGAUGGGUAGGAGAAGCAAUGGUAGAGAAAGUAGCAAUGGUCAGAUUAGUGGCGCAAGACCCCAUCUGCGGCGUACACGAAGGGGGUCAACUUUGACUCAAAGUGAUGUGGCGCCUCACAGCAUCAGCAGGUUGCAACAUCAACAAAAGGCGCUGUACCUCCGUUGGUGGCAUGUAACAUUUGCCAUCUCAAUCAGAAUCAUGUCUCUGGACAGUUUGUUACAAGGCUCCUAUCCCCCUUGGAAACUGCAUGCCAGAACUGAAAAAAAGAGCUAUCAUUUCUCUCAACCACUCUCAUGA
rnacentral:rRNA from 1 species